CCUACGGGAGACUGCAGUGGGGAAUAUUGCACAAUGGGGGAAACCCUGAUGCAGCGACGCCGCGUGAGUGAAGAAGUAUUUCGGUAUGUAAAGCUCUAUCAGCAGGGAAGAAAAUGACGGUACCUGAUUAAGAAGCCCCGGCUAACUACGUGCCAGCAGCCGCGGUAAUACGUAGGGGGCAAGCGUUAUCCGGAUUUACUGGGUGUAAAGGGGGCGUAGACGGCAGCACAAGUCUGGAGGGAAAGGCCGGGGCUUAACCCCGGAACUGCUUUGGAAACUGUGCAGCUAGAGUGCAGGAGAGGUAAGUGGAAUUCCUAGUGUAGCGGUGAAAUGCGUAGAUAUUAGGAGGAACACCAGUGGCGAAGGCGGCUUACUGGACUGUAACUGACGUUGAGGCUCGAAAGCGUGGGGAGCAAACAGGAUUAGAUACCCUUGUAGUC
rnacentral:rRNA from 1 species